CCCAGGACCAGCUGCUGGCGCUGGCGGAGGGCAACACGCUGUCCCGCCUGUCCAAGAACCAGCAGCAUCAGUACUACAAAGCCAUGAUGAGCAUCAGCAGGAGCUCCACGUCACAGACGCUCCGCAGGUCCCACGAGCGGCUCCUGGUCUCUCCUGACCGGCUGGACGACCGGCUGCUGCCGAUGGGUCUGAUGGAGAGGGGCGGGGGCACGGGGAUGGUUCCCACCAUGGGUCGGCUCAGCCACCACCAGAAGGCCCAGUCGCAGCAGAACAUCUGCGCCACGCCGUCUCUGGACCGCCACCACAUGAUCAAGAUGAACUCGCACCCGACGCCCGGCCACGAGCACGACCGCAGCUCCGCGGGCAUGGGCAAGCACGGCGGCUGGGACCCCCACGGCGGAGGAGGAGAAAGAGGAGGAGGAGGAGGAGGAAUGGGGUCGAUGGGAGGACACCCCAACGCCCGACGAAUGGCUUUUGCCAGCAAGAGGCAGAACACCAUCGAACAGCUGCACUUCAUCCCCGGAGGAGGAGGAGGAGGAGGAGGAGGGCAGGGACUGCGGACUGGGAGUAAGAACGAGGUGACAGUGUGAGAGGAAGAUGAGGAGAGGUGAAGGCUGAAGAGAGAGAGAGAGAGAGAGGGUCUGUGAAGCUCUCAGCUGGCUGCCCCCCCCCCCCUUCACUAAAUAUGUCCUGUAUGACGACGUUUAAGCCAAUCGAUUCUCUUCUUGUCACUUUGUGUGUUGAAAGAGAAAUUUCAGCCAUUCUUUGUAAAGGGAAGAUACACGCCCUCCUAAAAAGAGCAAAAAAAACAGGCAGCUGGACGGCUGCUGGGUCUCCGCUGUGACUUUUACUGAAGGAUUUCUGCUGAGUCCGAUUUGUUGAAUUGUCCUUGAGUUUUAUUGCACUGCUGUCCUCCGAGUCCUCGAGCGCUCCGACAGAUCGGUCUGUCUUUGAAUCCGCCGUGGAUGAUGGAGAGCGCCGAGCCGGAGGCGGACGGGUUUGCUUGUCUUUGUAUUUAUAAAAAAAGUAUUUAAAAACCAAACGAGCUGCUUUUGUAUGAGAUGAACCUGAUGAUGAUGAUGAUAAUAUAAUAACAUGAAGAUAACUGAGCCCUGUAGGAUUUUGUGUAUACUUAGUUGAAAACCUAUUUAUCCUUUAGCCAGCCGUAACGGCUGCAUAUGUAAUCAGCCGAUCGUUUCUUUCUCUAGCUGUGAUUGGAUGAUCGAUCGAACCGCAGAAAUAAUCGAGCCGCGUGCCGUCAUCUGCUUUAUGGCUCGAGAUAAGAAAACAAAACAUUUAGGAAGAAAACGUCAUCUCAAAUUGUUGCCAAACAGGCCCGGCCACACCAGCAGGGGAAGAUUUUACCGCUGACGAAGAGGAGGCUGUUUUUGUAGUCCAACAUGGAGGAUGCUAGUGUAGCACAUUAGCUGCACGUCCGUUUUCAUUUAUCCUCCUGUAGUGGAGAAGGAACGGCUCCAAAAAUGGAAUUACUAGGACGAAAAUGUCACGUUUUUGCCCCAUUAGCAAGUAGCCUGCUAGCCUAGUAGUUAGCGAGAUCGCUCUCUUUAGUGACUUUUUAAUAACGUAAAUGCUGUAAAUCCCAAGAAUUAUUCGUGACUGCUCCAUCCACUUGUACUUUACCCUUUAUUUUUGGGAAAGAAAUGGGCCCCCCAAAAAAUGUAUAGCAUAAAAAUAUCUUUUGAAUAAACUGUUAUUAUUGACUGUUAUUAGUGACUAGCAUGCUAGCUUACAGUUAGCAAGACGGGUUGUCCUCCCUCUUUGGUAAGUUUUUAAUGAAGUAAAUGUAAAAUACUGAGAAUAAAUCACAUUUAUGACUGUACCACCUGUAUUAUCCCAUGUUGGCUCCACAGAGGAAUAAAAAAUUACAAGGACAAAAUGUUUUUUAAAUAAGGAAAAGGUGUCACGUUGUCGCUUCCAUUAGCGACCGGCAAUGCUAACAGUUAUUAGACACGGUUCCUCUGUCCUUAAUCUUCAUGAUGAAUUAAAUGAUGCACAAUCUCAUAGGUUACCCAUGUUUGUGACAGCACACGUGCACGCGUGUUAGCAUUUAGCUAACUUUUUUUGCUGUGUUUCUGCUGUGGCCGGGCCUUCAAAGUAAAAACUCCACUUUGCAGCAUGAUUUUAAGCUAACUCGAAGCCUUUGUACAGUGAACUGUAGUGGGUGUUUAUCAUCUCUGAAACAUUGUGCUGUGACCCUUUUGCGUAAAGAUUAGUGAUAAAGUUUUGAAUUAGACCCCCUCAUGACGAACAUUUUAAUACAAAAAGCCAGACUGACCAAACAUUCUACUUUACAUCGCGAGCUUUGUAGAGAGUCGGGGGUUUCUUUUUUUAAAAAAACCUCCACGUACGUCGACGACGCCACACGCUACCUUGCAAGUUCAGCCGCUCACCUCGUGCAAAAAGGGGGAAAGGGGGAGCAGACGGGUUUUUUUCUUGGCGGGGGACAAUGGACACUUCACACCAAGGGCUAAACUGAAUUAUCUUUGUGUGUCUGUGCUCUGUACAGUGUCUGCUUCUCGUCUUCAUUUCCGUGUGUCGGGAGGCAUGCUCGUGCAUAUUUUCACCGAUUCUUUUGUUGUUUUUUUUCUUGUGUAGAGAGAAUUAUAAACACGCAAGGAAAUUUUCUGCAAAGCUGAGGAGCUUUUUGUGUUGAAUAAUUGUCACAGGAGGGAGGGGGGGGGGGCGGUAACCAUAACGAUGUCAUAUUUUGUACAUUUCUUUUUUCCUGGCUGUGAGACGGACCUUCUGGCCACACCGGCUGGAUUCACCCUUCGCGGGGUUAAAUUUAAGGGGACUCGUGAGGCCUUGUUGGAGGUUCUGAGGUUGUAUUGUAAAGACAGACAUGAUUGAUCACUGAGUGAAGCUUCCUGUCAGCCAUUUUUAGUGUUUUAAUACAUGUGAUCACAUGUUAUUGGUUUAUGUAAAAAAAUAAUAAUAAUUAUAAUAAUAAACAACAAACAAAAAAAUCCCCCCUGGAUGAGACGCUCUUAUCAUGAUCACUUUUUUCUGUCUUACUCAAACAUGUAUUUUUUUAAUGUCUGUGAAUUUUAAUGUAUAAUCCCAGAUUUUCAAUAUUUACACUUUUUAGUGGAAAAAAAAAAAUGAGAAAAACGUUUGUACUCACCGGAACAAAAAGAUCCGAUGCAAUCAGAGAGAAAAGACGAGCCGCAUGAAGACGUCGGAGGUGCUGACUGAUGACGUCACGGCGUGUGUGUGUGUGUGUAAACUCUCUUCUUCUUCGUAGGAAUGCUGAACCUCCCUGUUUUUUGACCAGGCGGUCGACGACCAGUCGUAUUCAUAUCAACCUGUUGUUUAAUUGAAGCGGUCAAUCACCACUUUUCUUGUCGAUCUACAUUCACCAAAGCCAGA
ensembl:lncRNA